GACGAACGCUGGCGGCGUGCCUAAUACAUGCAAGUCGAGCGAAUGGAUUAAGAGCUUGCCCUUAUGAAGUUAGCGGCGGACGGGUGAGUAACACGUGGUAACCUGCCCAUAAGACUGGGAUAACUCCGGGAAACCGGGGCUAAUACCGGAUAACAUUUUGAACCGCAUGGUUCGAAAUUGAAAGGCGGCUUCGGCUGUCACUUAUGGAUGGACCCGCGUCGCAUUAGCUAGUUGGUGAGGUAACGGCUCACCAAGGCAACGAUGCGUAGCCGACCUGGGAGGGUGAUCGGCCACACUGGGACUGAGACACGGCCCAGACUCCUGCGGGAGGCGGCAGUAGGGAAUCUUCCGCAAUGGACGAAAGUCUGACGGAGCAACGCCGCGUGAGUGAUGAAGGCUUUCGGGUCGUAAAACUCUGUUGUUAGGGAAGAACAAGUGCUAGUUGAAUAAGCUGGCACCUUGACGGUACCUAACCAGAAAGCCACGGCUAACUACGUGCCAGCCGCCGCGGUAA
rnacentral:rRNA from 1 species